rnacentral:miRNA from 3 species
AAGCAGCAGUAUGCAAUGGUG